UAAGACGAACCGUGCGAACGUUGUUCGGAAUCACUGGGCUUAAAGGGCGCGUAGGCGGGCCGGCCAGUCAGGGGUGAAAGCCCGCGGCUUAACCGCGGAAGCGCCUCUGAUACUGCCGGCCUGGAGGGGGGUAGGGGCGCGCGGAACUUCCGGUGGAGCGGUGAAAUGCGUAGAUAUCGGAAGGAACGCCGGUGGCGAAAGCGGCGCGCUGGACCCCGCCUGACGCUGAGGCGCGAAAGCCAGGGGAGCGAACGGGAUUAGAUACCCCGGUAGUCCUGGCCCUAAACGAUGGGUACUAGGUAGCGGGCUUCCAUGGGCUCGCUGCCGGAGCAAAAGUUAUAAGUACCCCGCCUGGGGAGUAUGGUCGCAAGGCUG
rnacentral:rRNA from 1 species